UUUUUUUUUUUGAGGUAGGGUCUUGUCCUGUUGCCCAGGCUGGAGUACAGUGGCUCGAUCAUGGCUCACUGCAACCUCUGCCUCUCAAGUUCAAGCAAUCCUCCCGCCUCAGCCUCCUAGCUAGCUGGGACUGCAGGUGUGCACCACCACAUCUGGCUAAUUUUUUUUUUUUUUCUGUAGAGAUGGGGUUUUGUCAUGUUGCCCAGGUUGGCCUCGAACUCCUGAAACUUCUCACAUCGGCCUCCCAUAGUGCUGGGAUUAUUUUCCCCUUUUAUUGAGGGGAGGAAACUGAGGCCCAGUGAUGCUUCAGUGGAGACCAGCUUGCCUGGGGCUCACAGAAAGCUGCUCAUGAGGUUCUUGGGGGCUCUGUCCAAGGCUGUCACCUGGACUGAGGGCUGGUCCUGGGCGGGGACCAGGCUUUGGGGGCGAGAACUUGUACCUCCUCGUUGCUUCCACCCCAGGCCUUCCCCACGGAGCUCACCUGUGGAGAGGUUUCCUCUGCCAAGCAUUUUGUCAGGAAACAGUGAGUGAGGGUGCGUCACUCACUGCUGUAUCAAUGUUGAAUAUUUGGGUGCAGGAAGAUGGCUUGGCUGUUGGAGGUCCCAAUGGCAACUUGCAUCCCCAGAUCCAUCCUCAGAGGCCCGGGGCUGGGAGCAUCCCUGGAUCCAUCCUCAGAGGCCCGGGGCUGGGAGCAUCCCCGGAUCCAUCUUCAGAGACCCGGGGCUGGGAGCAUCCCCGGAUCCAUCUUCAGAGACCCGGGGCUGGGAGCAUCCCUGAUCCAUCCUCAGAGGCUCGGGGCUGGGAGCCGCCACCGCCCAGCUCCAUGCAUUCCUAUUGGCGGGGUCUGGGUCUGCGCUGACGGGGAGCUCCUCUCGCUUAUCCUGGAUUAUAUUCACAGGCGGCUAACUCAGGGGGUGGUGUGAUGGGGAGACACAGGAAGGAGGAGUAGGGAGGGCAAGAUGAAGUGGGGCAGGCUGGGAAGGGGGUGACUUCAGGCACAGCCACACAUCCCUGGGAUUUUCAGGGGGAGCUCUGAGGGCUCAGAGUGGCCUGUAGUUUGUCCUGCCCCGAAGCAGGGAACCUGGGCUAUGUCCUGCCCAGGUCAGCCUUAGGUUAAGGGCUGCCUGGGGGAGGGAGCUUCCUGGGCCUUCGGGUCUCUGUGCAUUGGGGUGGCUCCCGUGGCCCAGGAUGCCCUGGAGAAGGGUCCUGCUGGAAGCGAAAGUGCAGGGCAGCAGGCGGUGAGCCACAGGAGCUGGUGGAGGCUCCGAGCACAGGUCGCAGCCCCAACCACAGCACUGCUGAUGGUGAGACUGCUGACGGUGAGGGGACGUGGGGAGUUUCCCCUGAGAAUGGGAGGUCUCACAGUCCCCACGCUGCAAUGCUGUCGGUGCACUGUGUCUGUGGCUUGCUCAUGGUCACUCGCUUUUUCCCUGUGGCCCCGGCCACUUUAUCCAGCAAGCAACCCCCUCUCGGGAGAAGCUGAGCCUGGACACCACCGGGAGGAGGCCACUCCCUUCCUCUCUCGAAGGGCACGCUGUCCUCGUCCUUGCUGAUUCCCAGAGGCCCAGGGACGUCUGAGGGGGAGGGGCCAGGCCUCCUUGACCCCUGCGUGUGGACACCACGUGACUGGGGCGUGGCUGACUCUCUGUGUCGAUUGGGUGCUUGGCAAACACAGAGUUUUGUCCAAGGCCACCUUGGUCCCCACCUGUCCAGGUUGGGAGGUGCCCUGCCUGGUGUGAGCGCCUCUGGCCUGAGCAGACGCCCCCGGCUCCCCCAGGACAUGUCACCUGGAGAGGUGACCCUCUCAGGCUGCGUCCUCCUUCCCUGCGGUGGCCCCAGCCUCCCAGCCAAGCUUCCCGACCCCCGCCCCAUCCCCGGCCUGCUGCUGCGGAGACUGUGGGCCGGCGCUGGACGGCGCGGCCUCCAGAAGUGAUAGCUAAUUGGGGAGAGAAAGGGCCCAAUUGUCUGGCGGGGCCGGAAGAGCCGCGUGGGCUGCUGAAAGCGCCGGGAGGAGGUGGCCGCUUCGCCCAGCAGCUGCCGCCGGGGAUGUUUGCAGAUUACGUCAGCGCUGGCGAGCAGGGGGCGCAGGGACAGCGAGGGGGGCCGGCUCCCGGCGGCCUCCCGCCCCCCAGGCCCCUGGACAAUGCUGUCAUUGUCAGCACAGAGAGUGGUUAAUUCUGGAUGAAUGGUACACGGGCCUCUUGACCAAGGAGGCCGCUCGCCGUCCCCAGUCUGUCCUCUCACAUGCCAGGGAGGCCCUGGGCUGGAGUCUGGCGGGCAGGUCUGGCCUGCUUGGUGGCACCGGAGAGAACAGGGCGGUCCCUUGGGGGCGCCGGCUGCAGAGGCCUCAGGCUGGACGGAGCUUCCUGACCCCGGUCUGCACGGCGGCCACUUAGCAGUGCUGGGCUUGGGCGGCAGGGCCCCACUGUAUCGGGGUUGGAGGGCAGAGGCUGCUGCUGCCCUGUGGUGCCGACCUCAGGCAUGACCUCCUGGCCAGGUGGCAGCUCGGGCCCUGACCCGCUCCUGGCCCUGCUGGUGGUGAUCCUGCUAGCGCGCCUCAUCCUGUGGUCCUGCCUUGGGACCUACAUCGACUACAGACUGGCCCAGCGGCGGCCCCGGAAACCCAAGCAGGACUAGGCCUCUGCAGGCUGCGGCCUCCGCGCGCCCUGUCUCGAGACUCAGCUGGCCUUUCUGGUGGUGGUGGGAGGUGAGGGGAGCAGGACAGGCACAUGACCCCCAUGUCCCACCCCCGGGGCAGGAGCUCAGAGAGGCCUGAGAUGGAUCGUGCCUGCGCAGACUGACCAGGGCUGUCCCAUAGAGGCAGUCGGCCAUGUGGGGAGACGGAGGGGCCGGCCUUGCAGGUCCAUCACCAGGUUCUGGGGUCCCCGGUUGCAGGGAGUGGUCCUGGGGGUGGGUCUUGUUUUAAGACCUUCUCUGCCUCCAAUUCCUUAUAAAUAUGCCUGCAGGGAGAGCUGGGUAAGCCAGAGGACUCAGGUGGAGGGACCACAAAGACAAAGGUGACCUAACCACAAGCCGGCUCUGCUACCAAAGGCCACAUCCUGUCUCAGCUCACUACCCUCAUAACCAGGCUCCUCCUGCCUCCCGAGGGACAAGACAAGUGCAGAUGGCUGUCUUGAUUUCCCCAGAGCAGACCCCUGGGAAAGGUCUCAAGAAGCACUUGUGAGACUGAGUUGACCAGCCAGAUGCACUUGACUCUGGUUGAGCCGCUGUAUACUCUCUAACGGUCUGAACCUCAGUUAGGACACAAUGAUCCCUGCCUGCCCCCCUCAGCAGGACAUCAUGUGGGGGGCGAUUUAGGGGACAAGCCAAGGGACCUACCAAUGCCCUCUGUUCAUCUGUUCCUGCAAGUGUGGGGCUGGGACGUGGCCAGGAAGGCUGACGGGGCAGGGAAGUUGGGUUGAAGCCAAGCAUCCAGUGCUCCUGCCCCGCCUCCCUAGCACAUUCGCCGUGAUGCCGGUGACCUAACCCACAGCUUGGGGAAGCUCAGUGGUUCUCAUCCUGGCCCCAUAUUCGAGACUCUGGGGGAAAUUCGGCAAACACCCACAUCCAAGUUCCACACUGUACUUCCUGGGAUGGUUCCAGCGGAUUCUGGAUUGCAGCGAGGGCUGCUGACUAUAUGUGGAACUGUGAGAUGGAAGGGACGACGGGCGGCAGCUCCAGGGAGGAGCAUCGAACCAGAUAUCGUCCCGGGGAGACUGAGCCUGGUGAUGUGGCAGCAUCUUGCUCCCUGAGAGGUGACGGGUGUGCUAGGGAUGCUCGCUCAGGGAACGUGGGCCAAGUCCUCUGAACACGAAGCUUGCACAGGGGGUGAUUCUUGUGAAUUCUGAAAGGACUUGGGGACAUCCAGCAAGAGCAGGAGCUUAGAUGGUGGUUCCAGGGCUGGUGUUGCUGAUUGGGGCAAGUGGCCCCCCCCCAGGGUGGGCAUGGAGCGGGGCACUGGCUGGGAGCCUCUGCCUUGCUGUAUCCUGGCUGAAUGGCCCCAAGUGAGGGCCAGAAACACCAUUAUCACUGUUUCUGCAGCACCUGAUACACUCACCUAUGCCAAGGAAAUCUUUUUUUUUUUGGUUUCUGCAGGACUUGCUGUGCUCAGAUCAUUCAUUCAAGAGAGCUACAGACAUGGGGGUGCUGGUGAGCAGGAGCAGAAACCAUCUGGGAGGGGGACCGACUAGAGUUUGAGGUGUCCAGGGGGUGAUGUGAAGAUGACCUAUUGCAGAGGGUCCCUUCUCAUUCAUACUCUGAAGUCUGCACAGGGGCAGGGGCUACCAUGCUCUGUUUCAGUUUGGCCUCUGUUGUAUCAACCAGAGGCCAGCAGAACUCUAUGGCCACUCCCCCCUGCCACAGACAAUUUGCCACCCCCACCAGCCACCAGGACUCUGUCUGAAUAUUCUCGCCUGAUCGUAGGAUUGUGGCGAGGAAUGUUCUUAUUGAUCUCUAAGGAAAAUAUUGUUCACUUUUUAAAAACA